GCCUGGUCGUGGCUGGCUGCACUGGCUCCCGGGGGGGCGGUGUGGAGAGUGACCUGUGCUCGCACACAGGCUUCUGGGUGGAGACCGCAGCAGUCUUAGCGUCUCCUGCCCGUCUCUGGGGUCCGCGUUGAUAGCCGCGGCUCGCGCCCACCUCUGGAGCUUGUUUAGGCGGCGCUUUGAAUCCCCUCUCCUUGCGCGCCACGAAACAAAGAGGCAAGAAAAAGUCUCUUGCCUCUUCGGCAGCUGCAGACUUAUUCCGGGACUCCCUCCCGGCUAGCUGUGGUGCGCUAACCCCUUCAGGCGGUAUUCACGCCGCCAACCCCAGUCCUCUCCUCUUCGGACCGAAGCCCGAGCCUCAGCUCCCAGCCCCCGCCCGCCCCGGCGGGUGAGCAGACAAGCCUCUCGGGCCGGUUCAGAUGGAAUAACUCAUGAGGACCACAGUGGGAUGAAGUGUGAAUAGAAGAUGAGGAGCUAGAGACAGGUGUACGCACCAAAAAUACAAGGACCCAAGAACCACAUUGACCCGGUUCACCACUGCAUCCCCGGCACCUGGAGUAACGCCUGGUAUCGUUGAAUGAAUGAAAGAACGAGAGAAUGAAUGAAGGAAUGAUCACGACCUCCCAGUAGGGGUGACACUCUCCCCCUUUCACAGAAAACUGGGGUUUGGAUCCCAGAGCCCAGCGGCCCUCCCCAGCGCUCCUCUGGGGCUCACCCGGCCCGCGGGCUGGCGAGAGAAGGCGUCCACCAGGGCCUCGACCCCGUAGUCCACCAGCAUGGAGAUGUUGAACAGGAACUGCUUGUAGCUGUAGUUCUGGGGGCCCACCCGGAAGGAGUCGGGCAUGAGUGGGUGCCAGUGGUAGAGCUGGUUGAACUCCAUGGCAAUUCGGUUACGGUACUGGAACUGGGUGCCUAACAGCAGCUCCGGGUCAAACUUGAGCUUCAGGAAGUAGCCACUCAGCUGCUGCACGUACUCCUCGAUCACAAUCUUGAUGGUCUCCCCUGGGACGAAGGAUGGGGAAUGGGGUCAACAGAGCACAGGGUCUUAGCCACCAGGCUUGGGAAGUGGGCCAGUUCAUGCAAAGGGCUUGGUUUGGCCUCUUUACCAUUGUAAUGGUUGUUUGAUUUUA